rnacentral:rRNA from 1 species
UACGUAGGGGGCUAGCGUUGUCCGGAAUCAUUGGGCGUAAAGCGCGUGUAGGCGGUUCGGUAAGUCCGCUGUGAAAGUCGGGGGGCUCAACCCUCGAAUGCCGGUGGAUACUGUCGGGCUAGAGUGCGGAAGAGGAGUGUGGAAUUCCUGGUGUAGCGGUGAAAUGCGCAGAUAUCAGGAGGAACACCAAUGGCGAAGGCAAUCCCCUGGGCCUGCACUGACGCUCAUGCACGAAAGCGUGGGGAGCAAACAGG